rnacentral:rRNA from 1 species
UUACCUCCCCUGUAACUAGCAUAUCAAUAAGCGGGGGAAAUAGGAACCAACCGGGAUUGCCUCAGUAACGGCGAGUGAAGCGGCAAGAGCUCAAAUUUGAAAUCUGGCCCCCUCGGGGUCCGAGUUGUAAUUUGGAGAGGAUGCUUCGGGAGUGGUCCCCGUUUAAGUGCCCUGGAACGGGCCGUCAUAGAGGGUGAGAAUCCCGUCUGGGAUGGGGUGUCCCCGCCCCGUGUGAAAGCUCCUUUGACGAGUCGAGUUUGUUUGGGAAAUGCAGCUUCUAAGUGGGUGGUAAUUUUCAUCUAAGGCUAAUUACUGGCCGGAGACCGAUGGCGCACAAGUGAGAGUGAUCGAAAGAAUGAAAAGCACUUUUGAAAAGAGAUUUAAACAGCACGUGAAUUUGUUGAAAGGGAAGCGUUUGCCACCAGACUCGCCCAGGGGGGUUCAGCCGGCAUGUGGUGCCGGUGUAUUCCCCCGUGGGUGGGCCAGCUUCGGUUUGGGCGGUCGUUGCAAGGCUCUCGGGAAUGUAGCACCCCCGGGGGUUCCUUAUAGCCCGGGGUGUCUUGCGGCCCGCCUGGACCGAGGCCCGCGCUUCGGUCAGGCUGCUGGCGAGUAUGGUCGUAACGACCGUCUAAAACCGAACA